rnacentral:rRNA from 1 species
UACGGAGGAUGCGAGCGUUAUCCGGAUUUAUUGGGUUUAAAGGGAGCGUAGGCGGGAGGUCAAGUCAGCUGUGAAAUGUAUCUGCUUAACGGGUACACUGCAGUUGAAACUGGUUUUCUUGAGUGCGUAAGAGGCAGGCGGAAUUCGUUGUGUAGCGGUGAAAUGCUUAGAUAUGACGAGGAACUCCUAUUGCGAAGGCAGCUUGCUGGGUCGUUACUGACGCUGAUGCUCGAAGGUGCGGGGAUCAAACAGGAUUAGA